GAUGAACGCUGGCGGCAUGCCUAAUACAUGCAAGUCGAACGGGGUGCUUGCACCCAGUGGCGAACGGGUAAGUAACACGUAUCUAAUCUACCUAAUAGUGGGGGACAACAGUUGGAAACGACUGCUAAUACCGCAUAAUCCAACUAAAGACAUCUUUGGUUGAUAAAAGGUGCUUCGGCAUCGCUGUUAGAUGAGGGUGCGGCGUAUUAGUUAGUUGGUGGGGUAAUGGCCUACCAAGACAGUGAUACGUAGCCGACCUGAGAGGGUGAUCGGCCACAGCGGGGCUGAGACACGGCCCGAACUCCUACGGGAGGCAGCAGUAGGGAAUUUUUCACAAUGGCGAAAGCCUGAUGGAGCAAUGCCGCGUGAUCGAUGAAGGUCUUCGGAUUGUAAAGAUCUGUUGUUAGGGAAGAAAUGAUCGGAGAGGUAAUGCUCUGAUUUUGACGGUACCUAACCAGAAAGCCACGGCUAACUAUGUGCCAGCCGCCGCGGUAA
rnacentral:rRNA from 1 species